UUGGGCGUAAAGGGCACGCAGGCGGUGACUUAAGUGAGGUGUGAAAGCCCCGGGCUUAACCUGGGAAUUGCAUUUCAUACUGGGUCGCUAGAGUACUUUAGGGAGGGGUAGAAUUCCACGUGUAGCGGUGAAAUGCGUAGAGAUGUGGAGGAAUACCGAAGGCGAGGGCAGCCCCUUGGGAAUGUACUGACGCUCAUGUGCGAAAGCGUGGGGAGCAAACAGGAUUAGAUACCCUGGUAGUCCACGCUGUAAACGAUGUCGAUUUGGGGGUUGAGCUUUGAGCUUGGCGCCCGUAGCUAACGUGAUAAAUCGACCGCCUGGGGAGUACGGCCGCAAGGUUAAAACUCAAAUGAAUUGACGGGGGCCCGCACAAGCGGUGGAGCAUGUGGUUUAAUUCGAUGCAACGCGAAGAACCUUACCUACUCUUGACAUCCAGAGAACUUUCCAGAGAUGGAUUGGUGCCUUCGGGAGCUCUGAGACAGGUGCUGCAUGGCUGUCGUCAGCUCGUGUCGUGAG
rnacentral:rRNA from 1 species